AUUGAACGCUGGCGGCAGGCCUAACACAUGCAAGUCGAACGAGCGGCGGACGGGUGAGUAAUGUAUGGGAAACUGCCCGAUGGAGGGGGAUAACUACUGGAAACGGUGGCUAAUACCGCAUACCCUCAGGUGAGCCCAUAUGGGAUUAGCUUGUAGGUGGGGUAAAGGCGCACCUAGGCGACGAUCCCUAGCUGGUCUGAGAGGAUGAUCAGCAACCCUGGAACGGAGACACGGCCCAGACUCCUACGGGAGGCAGCAGUGGGGAAUAUUGCACAAUGGGCGCAAGCCUGAUGCAUCCAUGCCGCGUGUAUGAAGAAGGCCGUCGGGUUGUAAAGUACUUUCAGUGGGGAGGCGUUACCGACAGAAGAAGCACCGGCUAACUCCGUGCCAGCAGCCGCGGUAAUAC
rnacentral:rRNA from 1 species